GACGAACCACACGAACGUUAUUCGGAAUUACUGGGCGUAAAGCGUGCGCAGGCGGUUCGUUAAGUCAGAUGUGAAAGCCCCGGGCUCAACCUGGGAACUGCAUUUGAAACUGGCGGGCUUGAGUGUGGCAGAGGGGGGUGGAAUUCCGCGUGUAGCAGUGAAAUGCGUAGAGAUGCGGAGGAACACCGAUGGCGAAGGCAGCCCCCUGGGCCAACACUGACGCUCAGGCACGAAAGCGUGGGGAGCAAACAGG
rnacentral:rRNA from 1 species